UACGAAGGAUGCAAGCGUUAUCCGGAAUUAUUGGGUUUAAAGGGUGCGUAGGCGGACCUGUAAGUCAGUGGUGAAAGCCUGUUGCUUAACAACAGAACUGCCAUUGAUACUGCAAGUCUUGAGUACAGUUGAGGUAGGCGGAAUGUGUCAUGUAGCGGUGAAAUGCUUAGAUAUGACACAGAACACCGAUUGCGAAGGCAGCUUGCUAAGCUGUAACUGACGCUGAUGCACGAAAGCGUGGGGAGCAAACAGG
rnacentral:rRNA from 1 species